UUACAACUCCCAAACCCCUGUGAACAUACCAAUUGUUGCCUCGGCGGAUCAGCCCGCUCCCGGUAAAACGGGACGGCCCGCCAGAGGACCCCUAAACUCUGUUUCUAUAUGUAACUUCUGAGUAAAACCAUAAAUAAAUCAAAACUUUCAACAACGGAUCUCUUGGUUCUGGCAUCGAUGAAGAACGCAGCAAAAUGCGAUAAGUAAUGUGAAUUGCAGAAUUCAGUGAAUCAUCGAAUCUUUGAACGCACAUUGCGCCCGCCAGUAUUCUGGCGGGCAUGCCUGUUCGAGCGUCAUUUCAACCCUCAAGCCCCCGGGUUUGGUGUUGGGGAUCGGCGAGCCCUCGCGGCAAGCCGGCCCCGAAAUCUAGUGGCGGUCUCGCUGUAGCUUCCAUUGCGUAGUAGUAAAACCCUCGCAACUGGUACGCGGCGCGGCCAAGCCGUUAAACCCCCAACUUCUGAAUGUUGACCUCGGAUCAGGUAGGAAUACCCGCUGA
rnacentral:rRNA from 1 species